CGAUAAAGGCAAACCCGACCGAAAGGCGGGGACGCAAAACCACCGGUCUAAGGGCGCGAGUCUACGACAGCGGGGUCGCCGG
rnacentral:ncRNA from 1 species